GAUGAACGCUGGCGGCGUGCUUAACACAUGCAAGUCGAACGAGAAGUGGAGACGGAAACCUUCGGGCGGAAGACUUUAUUUCGAGUGGCGGACGGGUGAGUAACGCGUGGGUAACCUGCCUCAUACAGGGGGAUAACAGUUGGAAACGACUGUUAAUACCGCAUAAGACCACAGCACCGCAUGGUGCGGGGGUAAAAACUCCGGUGGUAUGAGAUGGACCCGCGUUCGAUUAGCCAGUUGGCGGGGUAACGGCCCACCAAAGCGACGAUCGAUAGCCGAUCUGAGAGGAUGACCGGCCACAUUGGGACUGAGACACGGCCCAAACUCCUACGGGAGGCAGCAGUGGGGAAUAUUGCACAAUGGGGGAAACCUGAUGCAGCGACGCCGCGUGAGUGAAGAAGUAUUUCGGUAUGUAAAGCUCUAUCAGCAGGGAAGAAAAUGACGGUACCUGAGUAAGAAGCCCCGGCUAACUACGUG
rnacentral:rRNA from 1 species